UGCAGUCGACGGCAGCACAGAAGAGCUUGCUCUUUGGGUGGCGAGUGGCGGACGGGUGAGUAAUGUCUGGGAAACUGCCCGAUGGAGGGGGAUAACUACUGGAAACGGUAGCUAAUACCGCAUAACGUCGCAAGACCAAAGUGGGGGACCUUCGGGCCUCACACCAUCGGAUGUGCCCAGAUGGGAUUAGCUAGUAGGUGGGGUAAUGGCUCACCUAGGCGACGAUCCCUAGCUGGUCUGAGAGGAUGACCAGCCACACUGGAACUGAGACACGGUCCAGACUCCUACGGGAGGCAGCAGUGGGGAAUAUUGCACAAUGGGCGCAAGCCUGAUGCAGCCAUGCCGCGUGUAUGAAGAAGGCCUUCGGGUUGUAAAGUACUUUCAGCGGGGAGGAAGGCGGUGAGGUUAAUAACCUUGCCGAUUGACGUUACCCGCAGAAGAAAGCACCGGCUAACUCCGUGCCAGCAGCCGCGGUAAUACGGAGGGGUGCAAGCGUUAAUCGGAAUUACUGGGCGUAAAGCGCACGCAGGCGGUCUGUUAAGUCAGAUGUGAAAUCCCCGGGCUUAACCUGGGAACUGCAUUUGAAACUGGCAGGCUUGAGUCUCGUAGAGGGGGGUAGAAUUCCCAGGUGUAGCGGUGAAAUGCGUAGAGAUCUGGAGGAAUACCGGUGGCGAAGGCGGCCCCCUGGACGAAGACUGACGCUCAGGUGCGAAAGCGUGGGGAGCAAACAGGAUUAGAUACCCUGGUAGUCCACGCCGUAAACGAUGUCGACUUGGAGGUUGUGCCCUUGAGGCGUGGCUUCCGGAGCUAACGCGUUAAGUCGACCGCCUGGGGAGUACGGCCGCAAGGUUAAAACUCAAAUGAAUUGACGGGGGCCCGCACAAGCGGUGGAGCAUGUGGUUUAAUUCGAUGCAACGCGAAGAACCUUACCUGGCCUUGACAUCCAGAGAACUUAGCAGAGAUGCUUUGGUGCCUUCGGGAACUCUGAGACAGGUGCUGCAUGGCUGUCGUCAGCUCGUGUUGUGAAAUGUUGGGUUAAGUCCCGCAACGAGCGCAACCCUUAUCCUUUGUUGCCAGCGGUUCGGCCGGGAACUCAAAGGAGACUGCCGGUGAUAAACCGGAGGAAGGUGGGGAUGACGUCAAGUCAUCAUGGCCCUUACGGCCAGGGCUACACACGUGCUACAAUGGCGCAUACAAAGAGAAGCGACCUCGCGAGAGCAAGCGGACCUCAUAAAGUGCGUCGUAGUCCGGAUUGGAGUCUGCAACUCGACUCCAUGAAGUCGGAAUCGCUAGUAAUCGUAGAUCAGAAUGCUACGGUGAAUACGUUCCCGGGCCUUGUACACACCGCCCGUCACACCAUGGGAGUGGGUUGCAAAAGAAGUAGGUAGCUUAACCUUCGGGAGGGC
rnacentral:rRNA from 1 species